UUUCCGUAGGUGAACCUGCGGAGGGAUCAUUACUGAGUGAGGGCUCACGCCCGACCUCCAACCCUUUGUGAACACAAUCUUGUUGCUUCGGGGGCGACCCUUCCGGCACUACGUCGCCGGGCGCCCCCGAAGGUCUCCAAACACUGCAUCGUUGCGUCGGAGUUUAAACAAAUUAAACAAAACUUUCAACAACGGAUCUCUUGGUUGUGGCAUCGAUGAAGAACGCAGC
rnacentral:misc_RNA from 1 species